UACGAAGGGUGCAAGCGUUGUCCGGAAUCAUUGGGUGUAAAGGGUGUGUAGGCGGGACCGUAAGUCAGAGGUGAAAGCCCACAGCUUAACUGUGGAACUGCCCCUGAUACUGCGGACCUUGAGUCUUGGAGAGGUCACUAGAAUUCGUGGUGUAGCGGUGAAAUGCGUAGAUAUCACGAGGAAUACCAGAGGCGUAGGCGGGUGACUGGACAAGAACUGACGCUGAGGCACGAAAGCGUGGGGAGCAAACAGG
rnacentral:rRNA from 1 species